CCUACGGGAGGCAGCAGUGGGGAAUUUUGGACAAUGGGCGCAAGCCUGAUCCAGCAAUGCCGCGUGCAGGAUGAAGGCCUUCGGGUUGUAAACUGCUUUUGUACGGAACGAAACGGUCUACCCUAAUACGGUGGGCUAAUGACGGUACCGUAAGAAUAAGCACCGGCUAACUACGUGCCAGCAGCCGCGGUAAUACGUAGGGUGCGAGCGUUAAUCGGAAUUACUGGGCGUAAAGCGUGCGCAGGCGGUUAUGUAAGACAGAUGUGAAAUCCCCGGGCUCAACCUGGGACCUGCAUUUGUGACUGCAUAGCUAGAGUACGGUAGAGGGGGAUGGAAUUCCGCGUGUAGCAGUGAAAUGCGUAGAUAUGCGGAGGAACACCGAUGGCGAAGGCAAUCCCCUGGACCUGUACUGACGCUCAUGCACGAAAGCGUGGGGAGCAAACAGGAUUAGAUACCCUGGUAGUCCACGCCCUAAACGAUGUCAACUGGUUGUUGGGUCUUCACUGACUCAGUAACGAAGCUAACGCGUGAAGUUGACCGCCGUGGGGAGUAACGGCCGCGAAGGUUGAAACUUCAAAGGAAUUGACGG
rnacentral:rRNA from 1 species